GGGGAUGUAGCUCAGCGGUAGAGCACCUGCUUUGCAUGCAGGAGGCCCUGGGUUCAACCCCCAGCAUCUCCA
rnacentral:tRNA from 1 species